CCUACGGGUGGCAGCAGUGGGGGAUAUUGCACAAUGGGGGAAACCCUGCUGCAGCGACGCCGCGUGAGUGAAGAAGUAUUUCGGUAGGUAAAGCUCUAUCAGCAGGGACGAAAAUGACAGUACCUGACCAAGAAGCCCCGGCUAACUACGUGCCAGCAGCCGCGGGAAGACGUUGGGGGUAAGCGUUAUCAUGAUUUACUGGGGGUAAAGGGAGCGUAGACGGUUAUGUCAGUCUGGAGUGAAAGCCCGGGGCCCAACCCCGGGAGUGCUUUGGAAACUGGGGAACUGGAGUACAGGAGGGGCAGGCGGAAGUCCUGGUGUAGCGGUGAAAUGCGUAGAUAUCAGGAGGAACACCGGCGGCGAAGGCGGCCUGCUGGACUGAAACUGACGUUGAGGCUCGAAAGCGUGGGGAGCAAACAGGAUUAGAUACCCUGGUAGGC
rnacentral:rRNA from 1 species